rnacentral:rRNA from 1 species
GACGAACGCUGGCGGCGCGCCUAACACAUGCAAGUCGAGCGAGAACCCAGUCCUUGGGGCGUGGGGACGAGCGGCGAACGGGUGAGUAACACGUGGGUAAUCUACCCUCGGUUUCGGGAUAGCCCGGGGAAACCCGGAUUAAUACCGAAUGGCCUCUCGAGCUCUCGGGCUCGAGAGAAAAGGUAGCUUCGGCCUCUGACCGAGGAUGAGCCCGCGGCCGAUUAGCUAGUUGGUGGGGUAAUGGCCCACCAAGGCGACGAUCGGUAGCUGGUCUGAGAGGACGAUCAGCCACACUGGGACUGAGACACGGCCCAGACUCCUACGGGAGGCAGCAGUGGGGAAUCUUGCGCAAUGGG